CCCCAUUCCCCAUUUCCCCAUCCGUGCGAGUGCGCCGGCGGCCAGGAGCGGCGGGUGGAGCAUUGCGGCCAAAUCUGCCGCCCCGCUAGCCGCCGGCCAUGGAGGCCGCCGCAGCGCCAGCGGCACCCGUCCCCGACCAGGGGGGUUCCCAGUGGACCGCAUCGAAGACGGCACGGAGGCGCGACUCCGACGAGAGCGCCGCCGAUUUCAUCAGCAGGGUCCCCGACGCCGUCCUCUGCACCAUCAUCUCCCUCCUCCCCACCAAGGACGGCGGCCGCACGCAGGUCUUCUCCCGCCGAUGGCGCCCCCUGUGGCGCUCCGCCCCUCUCAACCUCGAGGUCCGCGUCCCAUACCCCGGCCGCGGCGUCCGCACCUCCUCCGUCGCCCCCGAUGUCGUCCCCAAGGUAAUCUCGCAGCAUCCUGGUCCCGCCCGCCGAUUCUGCUUCCACGGCCUCCGCCCCGGCGACCUCCACGACCAGGCGGAGAGCUGGUUCCGCUCCCGGGCCCUCGCCAACCUUGAGGUGCUCGAAGUCGGCUACAAGGUCCACGGUGAAAAAGAGUUAGAAGAACUUAUUCUGGCGAGAAUUUCCCUGCCGCCAUCCGCCUUUCGCUCUGCAUCUACCCUCCUCGUUGCCGAGAUCGGCUACUGUGAUUUGCCCCGAGAGAUGGUGCCGUCCAUGGGCUUUGACCUCCUCGAGCUUCUCUCCUUGAUCUCCGUUUCCAUCUCAGUGGAGGUCUUCCGCGGACUGCUCUCUGCUUGCCGUGCCUUGAAGAGCUUACACAUGUCCGGAGUUCGUGGUGCUAGUUGCCUCCAUGUUCGCUCGCCGACUCUUAGGAGUAUAUGCUUCCGUGACAGCUCUGGUAAAGUAGAGCUUGUCAUCGAGGAUGCGCCUCGCCUUGUGAGGUUACUAAUGCCUUUUGGUUCCCGAGAUGAUUGUGGUACUAUCCGGGUAAUUUCUGCGCCUAAACUGGAGAUAUUGGGCCCUUUGUUACCUGUUGUCUCCAAGCUCCUAGUCUCCCAGGGAAUAAGUUCAGCCGGCUCGGGAAACUCGAUGUAUACCGUGAAGAUUUUGGCUCUCAGGUGUUCUGGAUAUGAAUUGGAUGGAGUUCUUAAUAUCCUUAGGAGGUUCCCCUGUCUUGAGAAGCUCUAUGUUAUUUUUCACAAACACAAAGAGAUGGAUAAGAAAAUUGAGCCUCAGUAUGACCGACUACAUCCAAUUGAAUGCCUUCAAACCCAUCUCAAAACAGUGGUGUUUGAAGUAUUCAUGAGCCAUGAUAAACAGCUUGAGUUUGCCAAGUUCUUUGUUUUGAAUGCAGAAGUGCUAAAGAAAAUUGAAUUUGAUGGAAUAUAUGGGGCCUACAACAGUAUAUCGCUGGCUUACCAACACAGGCUGCUAAGAGUGGAAAACAGAGCUUCUCGAGAUGCUCAAUUUGAAUUCAUGAAUAGACAUCGUGAUACUGAGAAACAUCUCAACAAGCAUAAUUUGUCAGUGGCUGACCCCUUCCAACAGCCAUAGACAGGGUUGAUGCCUGAAGAUUUCACUGUUCUUAGUGUCUUGUGAAAUAGUGCACUGUGGAAAAUUUCUGAUGGGCAGGGAUGCAAAAAUAUUACUUCCAAAAUUUGUAGCUGUUAAGUGGCUUUGGCCGGGCCGCUAAGGCUGAGCGCGGGCCUAUUUUUUCACUCUCAAGUAAAGGAUACCCGAGGCAUAUAUGGAAUUUGAAUGCAAAGGUGCUAAAAAAUAUGGAAUUUGAAGGAAUAUAUGGUGCCAAGGACAGUGUGUCGCUGGCUUACCAACGCACGCUGCUACGAGUGGAAAACAGAGCUUCUCGAGAUGCCCAAUUUGAAUUCAGGAGUAGACAUCGCAAUACUGCGAUUCAUCUCCACAGGCAUGUCCAUGAUUUGUCAGUGGCCGACCCCUUCGAACAGCCAUAGACAGGGUUGAUGCCUGAAGAUUGCGCUGUUCUUAGUGUCUUGUGCUUGUUUUGCAGGCGAUGUUGAUGUCAAAUGAUUUCACAGUCUUCCGCAUAGGCCUGCUCUUUUUCUAGUCUAAGGUUCCUCUGUAAUUCAAGUACCUUAUGAAGUUGCCCCUCUUAAAACUGCAAGAGAUGCUUUUAGAUGCAAAAAGAAUGCACUGUGGAAAAUUUCUGAUGGGGAGGGAUGCAAAAAAUAUGACUUUGAAUUUGUACCUGGAGACAGCUGGUAAGCACAAUUGUUUAUGGCUUUGUUCUGCCUAAGCUGUGCUAGGAACACAUCC